rnacentral:rRNA from 3 species
UGAAGAGUUUGAUCAUGGCUCAGAUUGAACGCUGGCGGCAGGCCUAACACAUGCAAGUCGAACGGUAACAGGAAGCAGCUUGCUGCUUUGCUGACGAGUGGCGGACGGGUGAGUAAUGUCUGGGAAACUGCCUGAUGGAGGGGGAUAACUACUGGAAACGGUGGCUAAUACCGCAUAACGUCGCAAGACCAAAGAGGGGGACCUUCGGGCCUCUUGCCAUCAGAUGUGCCCAGAUGGGAUUAGCUUGUUGGUGAGGUAACGGCUCACCAAGGCGACGAUCCCUAGCUGGUCUGAGAGGAUGACCAGCCACACUGGAACUGAGACACGGUCCAGACUCCUACGGGAGGCAGCAGUGGGGAAUAUUGCACAAUGGGCGCAAGCCUGAUGCAGCCAUGCCGCGUGUAUGAAGAAGGCCUUCGGGUUGUAAAGUACUUUCAGCGGGGAGGAAGGUGUUGUGGUUAAUAACCGCAGCAAUUGACGUUACCCGCAGAAGAAGCACCGGCUAACUCCGUGCCAGCAGCCGCGGUAAUACGGAGGGUGCAAGCGUUAAUCGGAAUUACUGGGCGUAAAGCGCACGCAGGCGGUCUGUCAAGUCGGAUGUGAAAUCCCCGGGCUCAACCUGGGAACUGCAUUCGAAACUGGCAGGCUUGAGUCUUGUAGAGGGGGGUAGAAUUCCAGGUGUAGCGGUGAAAUGCGUAGAGAUCUGGAGGAAUACCGGUGGCGAAGGCGGCCCCCUGGACAAAGACUGACGCUCAGGUGCGAAAGCGUGGGGAGCAAACAGG